rnacentral:rRNA from 1 species
AGCACUGGCCUAAAUAACCUUAAGGUACCAGAUUUCAUCCGAUCUUAGAAGCUAAGUAGGUCAUCUACGGUUGUAUUUGAAUGGGAGACUGUCACUGAAUACAAGGUGCCAUAGGUU